CCUGGGGGAGACAGGGUCUGCCGCCGUCGCCCGCUCCGCUCGGAGCGCUUCCGGAGUCCUCUGCGCAUGCGCCGCCCCCCCACGCCAUCUUGCUGCGGACGCUCCCGCCCCCGCGGCAGUCGGGCUAGAGUGCCAAGUGCUUGCUGGGCUGGGCCGCGCCUCCGCGCAGUGGCGCGCGGGCGCCAGCGGGAGCUGGGAGGGGACGGGUGCCGCCGCGAGGCCCGGCGGGUGGGUGCGCGCCGACACCUGAGCUCACGCCGGGGCCCUGCAGCUCCCCAGGCCGCUCGCCCGCUGCGACUGCCCCGCUCCGCCCGGGGCGCCGGUUGACGCCCCCGUUCCGUUGGGUCGUCCCAGCCGAGGUGAGCUGUUCAGUAGCUCGAGCGCCGCGCCCCGCCCCACUUGAAGCAGGCCACGUGCGGCCGGCCGCACUGUGUGCCCGUGGUGUCACUGGAGCCAGUGGGGUUUCUGGGGCCCUCCGGCUGCGGCGGCAGGGCUCUGCCCUGGAUGCUGGGACUCGCUGCUCCGGAGGAGCGUUCCGAGCCAGGUGGGCGGGGGUUUGGCUGGAUUGGAAGCCAGCCUUGAAGGUAGAUGGAAGAAACCUACGUGUCAGGUUCUGUCUUCCCAGUUCCCGACUUAAAGAGAAGCCGGUGAGCGCACAGGCCCGGUCGACCCGAGUUAGCGGCGGCGUCCCUCUCCUCCCUUGCGGUCCCUUCCCUGGGCACCUGUCCGGGCGGGGCCGCUGUGCCCCCUGAGCUCGUCCUCUCUGCAGGGGGAAGCCCCGAUUUCAGGGAGGGGGAUUCCACUUUCACUUUGAGGACAGCCGCCCGCAGUUGGAGCUUACAGUGUCCUAUACCAGACUGGUGUCCAGGGACAGUAAGUUCUAACGGGGUUGGGGGUCCUGCGUGAUGAUGGCCCCCUAAUCUUGGGGCAAAGUAAAAGUAAGCCUUACAGAGUCUGAAGGAAAGUGCCGCCAGAAAGUUCUCCUCGGCCGCAUUUUCAGAGGAGGCCAGGGCAGAGAGUGAUGCCCUGGAUGGGCUUUGCCUGGCCCAGACAGGGGGAGACAAGAGCCCUGGACUCGCUUUGCCUGGCCCAGAUAGCAGGAGACAGGAGCCCUGGACUGGGCUUUGCAAAGCUUGGCCCAGACAGU
rnacentral:lncRNA from 1 species